rnacentral:rRNA from 1 species
GAGUUUGAUCCUGGCUCAGGAUGAACGCUGGCGGCGUGCCUAACACAUGCAAGUCGAACGAAGCACCUUACCGGAUUCUUCGGAUGAAAGUUUGGUGACUGAGUGGCGGACGGGUGAGUAACGCGUGGGUAACCUGCCCUGUACAGGGGGAUAACAGCUGGAAACGGCUGCUAAUACCGCAUAAGCGCACGAGGAGACAUCUCCUUGUGUGAAAAACUCCGGUGGUACAGGAUGGGCCCGCGUCUGAUUAGGUAGUUGGUGGGGUAACGGCCUACCAAGCCGACGAUCAUUAGCCGACCUGAGAGGGUGACCGGCCACAUUGGGACUGAGACACGGCCCAAACUCCUACGGGAGGCAGCAGUGGGGAAUAUUGCACAAUGGGGGAAACCCUGAUGCAGCGACGCCGCGUGAGCGAUGAAGUAUUUCGGUAUGUAAAGCUCUAUCAGCAGGGAAGAAAAUGACGGUACCUGACUAAGAAGCACCGGCUAAAUACGUGCCAGCCGCCGCGGUAAUAC